GACGAACGCUGGCGGCGCGCCUAACACAUGCAAGUCGAACGAGCGAGAGAGAGCUUGCUUUCUCGAGCGAGUGGCGAACGGGUGAGUAACGCGUGAGGAACCUGCCUCAAAGAGGGGGACAACAGUUGGAAACGACUGCUAAUACCGCAUAAGCCCACGGUGCCGCAUGGCACAGAGGGAAAAGGAGCAAUCCGCUUUGAGAUGGCCUCGCGUCCGAUUAGCUAGUUGGGGAGGUAAUGGCCCACCAAGGCGACGAUCGGUAGCCGGACUGAGAGGUUGAACGGCCACAUUGGGACUGAGACACGGCCCAGACUCCUACGGGAGGCAGCAGUGGGGAAUAUUGCACAAUGGGGGAAACCCUGAUGCAGCGACGCCGCGUGGAGGAAGAAGGUCUUCGGAUUGUAAACUCCUGUUGUUGGGGAAGAUAAUGACGGUACCCAACAAGGAAGUGACGGCUAACUACGUG
rnacentral:rRNA from 1 species